UUUGGUUCACCGUUUGUGAUUCCACGGAGUUGCUAUUACAUGCGCAUUCCCUCAGCUCACGGAAUUGCUAUUACAGGGGUUGGGGUCUGAAUACCUAUUCAACGCCCCACCGUUUAGGUUUUUAGACCAAAAUAUCCCGCCUCUAUUUUUCUUAAAAUUCAUCACUCCAGAUUUCUUCCUCCCCAAAUCAAACAUCCAUUCGCCCUUCAUCUUCAUCUCCUACAUUUUCUUUUUCUUUUUUUUCCUGAUUCCUUUUAGUUAAAGUUCUUUCAUCUUCAUCUCCCCAAAUAUUGUAAGUUCGGUUGAGACUUUUUCUGCCCUUCUUUUCCCCUUUCAGCCACGUUUUCUUAUUCUUGUUUACACAAAUUAAAAUUAUGAUGUUUCUAUUGGAUGCACUUAAAUCCAGAAGUACCAGCAAAGUACUGAGAUCUCCUCAUCAGGAAACUGCCUUUCCAAAGGCUUGUUCGUGAAAUUACCCAAGACUUUGAAGUUAAUACCAUUAAAUUACUGCUUCUUCUUCUUUUCUGUUUAAUUAUUGUAAAGAAAUCAAAACUUAAGCUCAAAGUAUGGUUACGGUUAUGGUUAUAUAAGAUAAGAAUGUUUGCAUUUCAUGAAGACGGACAAUAAAAAAAAUUUGGUAGGGUGAGGAACAUCCAAAAAAUUUCUUAUCUGUAAGCAUAUAGGCUUUAAAUACUAGCCACCAGUAAAGAAGCUAAGUUGGAAAAGGGAAAAAGGAAAAAAAUACAUAUGUUUUUCAAGGUGGUUCUCUUCUUGUUUUUUGGAUUGUUUUCCGAAUGGCUUGUGAUUUCGAUUAGUUGAGUUCUCUUUAUUUGCAUUUCUUUAAAUUUUUUAAUGAUAAAAUUGUGGGUUUUAAUAUUAAGAGGAUGUUAACAUGGAGUUUAUGUUUUGGUUUUUGUAUUGGAUUAAGUUGAUGUUUUUCUUUAGAAAAGAUUGAUUAGUUAAGUGAGAGUCUAUAUUCAGAAUUUAAUCACGAAUACUGCCUAGUAGUAUGUGUGGAUGCGGAUUUGAGAAUUGCCUUUGUUUCUGUUUAUGGAUUAUGCCUCUAAUUAACAUUUGACGAACUUUGUUUAGACUAUAAAUAUAUGUGUGGAUGCGGAUUUGAGAAUUGCCUUUGUUUCUGUUUAUGGAUUAUGCCUCUAAUUAACAUUUGACGAACUUUGUUUAGACUAUAAAUAUAUGAUAUGAAAUAAUUUUGUUAGACAUAUCGAUUUGUAGUCAACGAAGAACCAUUGCUGUAAUUAACAUUUGACCAACUUUCUUUAGACUAUAAUAACUAGAAAAAAGAAAAACUAGAUACUUACGUUACCUUCCUUAGUUAUAGUCAUGGCAUGGCUUUCUUUGUUUUCUGAAUGACUUGUGAUUUCAACUAGUUGAGUUUUCUUUAUUUGCAUUUCUUGAAUUUUUUUUAUUAUAAUUUUAGCAAUCAAAUUUGUAGAUGAUGAAGAAUUAUUAUUGCUACAGAUAAAAGGACUUCAAAGCUCCACAGUGCACCCAUUUGGGAUAUUUUAGUACAGAUUUUUUUUUAUAAUUUAUGUAUGAUUUUGUAGCUACCUAAUUAUGAUAUUGAGAGUUUCCCUUUAUAACUAGCAAUAUUAGAGAUGAAAUGAUACAUCAUAUUCAUACAUAGAUAAAUAACUCAAACAUGACAAGAAGAUGUGUUAUUCAAAAUCUGUAAAAUAUGAAUUAUUAAUUAGAAUUAUAGGAUGAUGACAUGACUGUUAGCAGAACAUGGCAUAGAUACACAAAUUACUAGGUAACAUUUUUUCUCUUCUAGGAAAUUUACUCAUUAUUUGCAUGAUUUGACCAUUUGAACGAGAUGAAAUAUUUGUUCUAGUGUUGCCUAUUUCAUAUGUUUUGCCAAGAUCAAUUGCUUGACAUAGAAUAGUUAAGAAAGCGAUAAGAUAUAUUCUUUAAGGAUCUUUUAGUCUUGUGUUUCUAUGCUAUACUUGCUAGAUUAAUUGCUUGUGUGAUGCUUUCUCCAUUUUUGCAAGAGCUGGUGGAAAUUGUUAUGAUUGGUGUUUGUUCUGUUAACAUAUUUAAGCUAUCUUUAGUGUGUUCAAUGUUGGUAAGACGUUAAAAAUACUCAAAAAAGUGUAUGAAGACUACUAUGUUAUGGCUGUUAACAUAUGUUAUGGAUUGUGGCAUGGCCAUCAGGUAUUAUUUUCUUCUUUCCGCUGGUAUAUAGUAGUGGACUUUGCAUUUUAAAUCAGUAAGUAGUUUGCCAUUGAUGCGGAUUAUAAAUUUAUAUUGAAGCAUGCAUCUCCUACUGUGAAAAAUAUGUGAUUUAAUUUCAUGCUAAUGGUGUUAUCCACACCUAUGUCACUUGGAUUCUGUUGUGAAAUAUCGGAUGCAAGAAUGUGUCCAACUUGCAUAUGCUCUUUUUUUCCUUUUUUUUUUUUCAAGUUUUCCCAUGUAUUUUUGAAUGAUCCGUCAGGGAUAUAUCUCUGAACCCUUGUAGAUCUGCACAUUUCAGCCAAUACUAAUCCGUCUUAAUACGACUUUGAUGCAUCAAGGUCAUUCCCUGGGGUGACCUAGACUCCUUAGCCAUGCUACAGAGGCAACUGGAUGUAGACAUACUUGUAACAGGUCACACCCACCAGUUCACCGCUUACAAAUAUGAAGGCGGAGUUGUUAUAAACCCGGGGUCUGCUACUGGUGCAUAUAGCAGCAUCACUUACGAUGUCAA
rnacentral:lncRNA from 1 species